GAUGAACGCUGGCGGCGUGCCUAAUACAUGCAAGUCGAGCGAACAGACGAGGAGCUUGCUCCUCUGACGUUAGCGGCGGACGGGUGAGUAACACGUGGAUAACCUACCUAUAAGACUGGGAUAACUUCGGGAAACCGGAGCUAAUACCGGAUAAUAUAUUGAACCGCAUGGUUCAAUAGUGAAAGACGGUUUUGCUGUCACUUAUAGAUGGAUCCGCGCCGCAUUAGCUAGUUGGUAAGGUAACGGCUUACCAAGGCGACGAUGCGUAGCCGACCUGAGAGGGUGAUCGGCCACACUGGAACUGAGACACGGUCCAGACUCCGACGGGAGGCAGCAGUAGGGAAUCUUCCGCAAUGGGCGAAAGCCUGACGGAGCAACGCCGCGUGAGUGAUGAAGGUCUUCGGAUCGUAAAACUCUGUUAGUAGGGAAGAACAAAUGUGUAAGUAACUAUGCACGUCUUGACGGUACCUAAUCAGAAAGCCACGGCUAACUACGUG
rnacentral:rRNA from 1 species